rnacentral:rRNA from 1 species
UUCUUCAGGCAUUUGCUAAAGCUACCAGAUCCCAUCUGAUCUCAAAAGGUAAGCAGGGUUGGCUUUGGCUAGUAUUUGAACGAGAGAUCACUAAUGAAUUCCAAGUACCGUAAGUU